AGUGGCAAGGAGACAUCCUCGGUGGGCACGUCUUGUUUAUGCAGUUAAUCACAGAGUAGACAGAGCUUUAGCCAUGCUGAGACCUCAAGCAAUUGCUGAUUACAGAGCGUUGCUUACUUCUCUUGGAUGGCCACCUCAGCUUUCAACCCUAACUUCACCAAGCCUCGAAUCAAAGUCAGACAAUGUCCAAAAUCCGCUUUUCAACAUGGAAGGGAACCUCAAAAGUCAAUACUGUGGGAAUUUCCUUGCCAAGCUGCUUUUUAGAAUCCGGAGGUUGAAUUGAAGGGAACCAAAGAGACCAAUGUUUAGUUGUGCAUUGAAAUUACGAUUUCUUUUUAGUUGUGAUGAUCACUUCACAUACUCUAAUUUGGUAAGUUACGAGAAACGUGUUCUACUAAUCACUAUUGGUUUCUGGCUCCUCAAGAAUAUCAUAAUUAUUGGAAUCAACAAAGAUGGUACGCUGAACAAACAACGGAACAAGGAGAAGUCAAUAUCGCGCCCUUAUAAAUUCACAUAGACUUCAAAUGAUAAUAUGACAAUUAUUAAAACGGAUGAUGGCAUAAAACCCCAAAACCAUAUUUUUCUAGAACAUCGCUAUCAUUUGAUUUGUUCGUUCAUCAUGUCAGAUUUUUGCUCUAUUGUGUGUGUACCGAAGCUCGUCUUUCUCUGUUCUGUAAAUUUUUGCUCUAUUGAGCGUUUUUGUUUUGCAUUUUGUUUUACUGUGCGUUUGUUUUUUUUGAUAAAUUUUUAUUUUAUUUUAUUAGUUAGGGGUGCGUUAUUGACUUUAAAAACUGUAAAAGCUUAAAUUUUUUUAAGGGUUUUGUAUUUUACCCAACCAGGUUUUUAAUGGUUUUAAAGUCCCAAAGUCCUUAACUUACUUCUUCAUAGCCACUUUAUUUCUUUUUAUUCAUAAUAGACACAGUUUAAUUUUUCCUAAACAAGUAAAUAAGCGAUGGCUUUAAUAUUUUUUAAAGUCUUAUAAAUAUAUUAGAGUCAAAUUUUGUAAAGUUACGGUUUAAAAUAAAUAAAAACCUACAGUUUCAACCUUAACCAAUCUUGCUUUUUGUUCUUCUCAUUUUGAUUCACUGCUGGUUUGAUUAUGCAUACCUCAUCGAGUUUAGUAUUUUCUAUUAAAGCUUGCUUGGUAGUUUUAUCUUUACUCAUCUGUUCUUAUUUGGUAAUGGUCAGAAUAUCAACCAAUCUAAUAAUUGCCCCCUUAAUUUCUUAAUUGCUUUCUAACUUUUGUUUUCUUUUUCUAAUACAAAUUACAACUGUUGAGAAGAAAAAAAGAUCAGAAAAAUUACAACAAAGUAAUAUAGAAUAAUAUAGCGUAGGAUAGGAACUCAUUGUUUUCUUUUGCUAGCACUUCUGUUCCGGUUUGGGAAAUUGCUGGUGUAUGAAACAUUUUAAAUUAAUCAAUACUAAAGUGCGUUUCUUGUAACAAAAAAUAAAAUUUAAUCUGCCCGACAUCUCAUGAACCAAAAAUGUGCUGAAUUAAUAGCAUAUACAAAUACAAAUACCAAACGCCUAACAAUCGUAACCACAUAAACUUUGAGAAAAGAGAUUAAAUAGCGAUUUUUAAAUAUUGUAGUAAUAGCUAUCCAUAUAAAUGUGCUCAACCUAAUAAUUUCAUUCAAACGUAUGUAAUUCAAUGUUAACCAUUAACGAUGUAUAUAAUGGUCGUCGAUUUUACAAGUUAUAUCUUACUAUAGUAUAAUAGUUAUCCUUAUGAUGUGUGAUGAACCUAAUUAAUAAGCUGUUUUUAUUUUAUUAGUAGGACGAAUCGUCUUAAGAAACUGUAAAAGUUUUAAGUUUUUUAAAAGGUUUUAUCAUAGUCAUAUCUUACCCAAUCAGAUUUUAAUGGUUUUAAAAUCCCAAAAGUACUAAACUUACUCCUAAAAUUCUUCAUAGAAAAUUUUUAAUUAUUAUUCAUAACAAUCGACACACUUUUUUUUUCAAAAACUAAAAAUUAUGGCUUUAACUUUUUUUUUCAAGUCACAUCAAAAAUAUUUCAGUCAAAUUUCCUACAGUUACCGUUUAAAAUAAAAUCCUACAGUUACAACCUUAACCAAUCAUGAAUCAUCCCUAGGAUAGUCGGUAGGACCGGCCCAAAGCAUAGAUGAGAUAGGCGACAGAUUAGGGCAUCCAAUUUAUGAGAGUAUAUGUUGGUUAAUUUUUUUAAAAAAGUAUACAUAUAAAUAAACAAAAUUUAAAACAUUUUUUAAGAUAUUUUAGAAAAAAAAAAAGAAUUUGCAAACUUGAAGGUUUCUUUAACGAAUGGUAUGCAAAUAUAGUUGAUGAUGAUCUGUUUAUAGAAUUGAAUAUUCUCCAAAUGAAGUCGGAAAGCUUAAUGAAGUGCUUGAUAUUUUGAAACAAAUGGAGGAUUGUUAUCAAAAUACAGAAGUUUUAUAUCGCAUAUUGUUGACAGUUCCGGCAUCAGUUGCUACUGCUGAAAUUUUUUUUUUAAAGUUAAGGCUGAUAAAGAAUUAUUUGCAAUUUACCAAGAGCGAUUAAAUGGGCUAGCUUUGUUAUCUAUUGAGACAACUAUGGUUGAAAAACUCAGACUAUGCGAGUUUAAUAAACGAUUUUGUAGGAAAAAAUAUAAAAAAACCAUAUUUCAACAAUAAAAUAUUAGUUUUAUUGUGUUUUUUUUUAUAUAAACUAUUUAUAGAAUUGAAAUAUUUUACAUAAUUUUAAUUUAUUUUUCUUGUUUUUGUAUUAUUUUUUAUUUUGAAAAAAAUAUUUAAAAAAACGUAAUUCAAAUUAUAGACUAUUGCAUUUAAAUUGAUUAGUCUGGCACUGAUAGUCCGUAAUUAGAUAAUUAGCAAUAGGGAAAAGCUACCUAUUUAUGUCUCAAAUAAAUCAAAACCCACGACCAAUAAAUCUAUGGUAAAUUGUUGAGAUAAUGAAAUGAAGACGAACGAUAGAGAUGUUCGUUGAUCGAACUGAGAACCAAAAUCAUUUGUUUCUUCUUCUCAGUUUGUUUCACUGCUGAAUUGAUUACGCAUACCUCAUCUCAGACUUUAGAACUUUCUAUUAAAGUGUUGCUAGGUUGUUGUAUAAUUAACUCAUGUAACUUGCCCUUUAAAAUUUUUGCUAUCUAUAACUAUAUACGUUUUUUUCCUUCUAAUAUUCAUCUCUUUAAUUGUGAUUUCGAACUGUUUUUUUUUUUUUUUAAUUUUGAAUGUAAAAAGAGAGCGUUAACAAUUCUCAUAUAAAUAAGAAAAACAGAUUAUAGUAAAAUAAUAUAAAUUACAACGGUUGAGAAGAAAAAAGAUCAUACAAAUUACUACAAAGAAACAGUGAAAGAAUAAUAUAUAUAGAAUAGUAUAGCUUAUGUGCAAAUGUGUAUAUAUGUAAAUUAUGCAUGACGUGAUGAUGACAUGUACAUUCUUUUGGAAUUGCUAGUUUGCAGCGGCAUUGACAUGGAUGUAUGUUUUGUCACCUUGUCCAAUUAAUAAGCUGCCCGCCGAUAUGGUUUUUCGCAAUAAUAUCCUGUUUAUGGCAAUGCCAAGAAGUAUUCAAUUCACCCAACACUAUCUCCAUUAGUAUAUUAUAUAUGAGAAAUUUUAUAAGUUAGAGUAGUGAAUCAAAUACGUUGGUGGAUACUCCGAAAUAAAACGAGCAUGUCGACUCUCUUUCUUCGAAAGUAAAAUAGUAGUAUGAAGUAAAAAAGUUACGCAUGAUGCUGGUGGAAUUUAUAUACAUAUAUAUUUUUUUUUCUUGCAUUCAAUUUUUUUUGUUAAGAUAUAUUUAUUUUCUACUGACCAUAUAUACGAGCCGUUUACCAUAUAACUGGGUGGUUUUAUAAUUAUACUAAUAUUAUCGUUGUAUUAUUAUAUGGGUUUCUAGAAAUGCAUGUGCUUUGACAAAUGAAAAGGUCCUUAUACAUUCAUGGUAACCUUUUGAAAUUGCGAUCGAGGAGGUGCCGAAAUUAUAUUAACGUUGUAUUAUUAAAGGGAUUUCUUGAAAUGCAUGCUGUUUGAAAAAAUGAAAAUGUCCUUAUGCAUUCAUAGUAACCUUUUGAAUUUGCGAUCGAGGAGCUAUGCCAUGCAUGAAGUUUUGUCCCCUUACAUUAAAUUUAAGUAAGAUGUUGAGUUGAGUGGCACAUCGAAUCAAAGUGUAAUUGUUGGUCUUAUAUUUUUAAAUAAAUUAACCACUUGUUACGGUCUAUUAUUAUGAAGAAGCAGUGGUAUAUUUUGAAACCAAAGAUGAAGCUGUUUAGUAUCGAUUUUUUCAUUUUGUAAUUAGCUAUACAUAUUUUAAUCAAUUUGUAUAUAUGAAAUGAUCUCUAUCAAAUCCUCAUUCUCCGAUUUCGGAUUUCAAAUUGACAUAUAUGAUACACAUCAUUUUGUGUAGAUGGAGACCAACAAAAAAAAGUUGGACAUUAGUGCGAAAUAAUUUGAAAUAAAAUCACAUUCUGGACCACAAUCUUUUCUUUUUUUAAAAAAAAACUUGGUUGAGAUCAGAGCCCAUAUACUAUAGAUAUAAUAUAACAUAAUAUCUCAUUGUUAGAUAAAGUCGAUUAAGGAGUUUACAAUAAGACAGAACUUGGACUCACUGAAUUUUAUAUUCAACGAUAUACGACAGACAUACUCUGUCGUGAAUCAUACAUACGACAUAGCAUACACAUGCUAACAUGCAUACAUACAUGCGAGACCAAGAUGCAUGUUCGCAUCUAUAUAUGUGCGUGUGCAAGUUAUUUCACGGUAAAUGAGAAAAUUUGUUACCGAAUCUAAUUAAUGAUCAUAUAGAAUUUUGAAACCCACAUGCGAGGCUUGUUGACAAAUAUACAUUACUAAGUUAGUUUAUCCUCAUCGAAACAUAUAGACAUCUAUAAAUUAUUCUUUGAACUCCAUUUUUUUUUGUAUUGAAACUUUUCAUAUAAAUAAUAUUAGCCUUUAACCAAAAAUAUGAUUGAAUAGUAGGUCCUGCGUAUGAUUUCAAUGGCUUAUUAAUGACAGGGUUUGAAAAAUUGGUGUGUCGAGUAUUAAUGAGCAUCCAACAAAACAGUCAUAUUCACAAAACAAUCAAACGUUGUGAGAUGUUUAGACUAAAGGGAAUAUUUGUGCUCCAUCACUAACUGUAGUGUGAAUGAUGAAUUGAUGAUCACUCUCUUCGUUCAAUAUAUAGUAUAGUCUGAGCGUGAUAAUGGAAGGCGUUAUUAUAAAUCCGUACUUAGAUAGUGGUGGCUUUAGGCGAACUAAAAAAAUAUGACCUUUAUAAAAGAUUAGUAUAAAAUAUCGUCUGAAUCAUACACAACAAUAAUAAUAAUAAUUGAAACUAUAAAAAUAUCGUCUUUGGCCGAUAUCAAUGAGUUUAGCCCACAACUUUGUAAAGUGUAACCGAGAAUUGAUUGACAAGCCAAUCUGGAUUAGCUAUUAAACCGAAUUUUUGAAAACCUAGGUAAAAUCAGAAAAAACUAAUUAAAAUUUUGCGAAUAUCUAUGGUUAAAACCGAUAGUUCCGAUCAAACCUAAAUUUUGUUUUGAAUGUAGGUUUUAAGCUCAAAAAAAUUCUUAAUGAUGUUGCUAUUUAUUGAAGAAAAAUUAUAUACCUCCUCUUUUAGAACAUUAAUGUGGGAUAACUUUUUUAAUUCUGUUUGUUUCAAUUAGUUAAAUUUCUUUUUUUAUUUAUCUCUUUAUUUAUGAUAAUAAUAUUAAUAAUAAUAAUAAUAGUAUAUGAACUUCUCUCUAAAAAAGAACCCAAUAAUAUUUAUUUCAUUAAUUAACUAUAUAUAUAUGAACCUAGUUAAUAAAAUUGUGGCCUUAAAUUUUUCUUAAUUUUUGGUGACUUUAAGCUAAUGCCUAACUCCCAACACAUAAGGCACGGCUCUGGAUUUAUAUAAUAACGUAAGCUAGGCAUCGAGAUCCACGGAAAUACACAUAGACCAACGAAUUGAUUUACGUGUAUAUAUAUAUAUAUAUACAAAGAAUAUCAGCGACCAGAAUUAGUUUAUACUGUGUAAUUAGUGAAUUCAAUAUUGAUCGUUAAGGCUGAGAUCCCACAUUUUGCAAUUCUGAAUUUAUGAGAGACAUAAUGCACCCACUCCGCCUAUAUUGAUUAACUUUUCCUACUAUUUAUAGAAAUUAUAUGAAGAACAUAAGAACAUAACCAUUCAAAAUGAUUAAAUUAGUGUCGCCAAUUUAAACUAACGUAAACAAACAUUAGAGAGUAGAGAGAAACCAUGUGUUGCAGACUUGCAUCCAUCGAUCAUGUGAGGACAGUGUAAAUAUAUAUAUAGGCACAACAUGUGUGGACCGAAUUAAUAUGCAUUAUGUGACAUCACUAAAAUAGUUAUCCAUACAAUUGUGCUCAACCUAGCUAAUAAAUUUUAUUGAAACGUAUGUUAUAGAUAAUGUUAACGACCAUGAACUAUAUAGUGGUCGAUUUUACAAGUUAGAACUUAAUAUAGUAAUAUUUAUCGAUAUAAUUUCAUUGAAACGUAUGUAAUUUAAUGAAAGCACUAAUGUAUAAUUGUCAAAGUCUUAAAGGUGAAUAACAUGCACACAUUCAAUACAUGAAUAAAUGGGUGGGUUCCACCUACUAUGUGGGCAUCAUCGUAUGCAUGUUAAUAUAUCAUCAUGUUUGUACGUACAACAUCAUCGUUAUCCAUAAGAAGGUCUUAAACGAUGAUAUUAGAGCAUCUGCAAUGGGGGUUUUAAACGAGUUUUAAGAUGGAUUCGUUAAUAUUUUAGAUUUAAGCCUAAUAUCUUUCAAUCCGGUUCUUGCAGAAGAGAUUUUAGACUCGUCUCUAAAUCGGAGUUCAUGAGGUACAUGUCGCAUUCUUAUUUGUUGCACUUGGGAAAAGAAAACCCUCUACUGCUUCUCACACUUAGCAAGUUUUUUAUCCAGCCAAAAUCAUUUUCAUCACAAAGCUUCUCUUCAUUAAUUUCGCAACGAUUUCGCCCGGACACAUUCACCGUUAAUCGGAGAACAUCUUUGUGUCGGCUUCCAUUAUGUCUUCAACUCGUCUCUUCGGCUCUCGUGUAAUCCGUUUCAUCUCCUCUGAUUUUUCGUUCAAGACAGUUCUAUCAUCAAGUUUUAUCUCUUUAGUGUUUGACUCGGAAUCGAAGACAGAGCUUUGAGAAGGUAAGUAAUCGGGUCAUUUGCGUUGUUAUAUUGUAUUUUGUUUGAACUGAUUUCGUCUGAAAUUAUGGUAAUCAAAUUUGGGGAAAUUUUUAGGGUUUACAAAAUUGGGGAAUUUUUAGGGGUUUUCGUAUUUGAAUCAAAUUAGGGGUAAUUCAAAAGUUCAUUAGCUUUCUGUAUGUUUCCGAUAAUCAAAUUAGGGUUCGGGAUUAGGGAUUUCAUCCAUAUCAAAAUUAUUGCCAAAAUCAGAUUAACAUAUUAUCUAUUGGUUUUUGAUUGUAAUUUGAUUAUUUUGUGGAUCAUUGUUAAACGGUUUAGAUUUUAGAUACUUUUAAACUUUUUUGGUUGAUAAUGAGUUUAUUCAUAUGGUUUACGUAAGUGUUUGACGACAUUGAACUGGUUGUUAUAUGCAGGUUAUGCCGAUCAGCUACAGCGAUAUGUCUUCUGAAGAACCAGAGCAGGACUUGGGGUGGGCCUAUGCUGAUGCUAACUACGACAUCCCUGAGAAAUGCUUAUGUGGCCUCCAGAUGAAGCUUGAAGUCUGAACAGGUAAUGCCACAUGCCGCAAAGACUUCAAGUGUCCUGCUUGGGUGAAAGAAAUAAUGUUUUCCAGCUUAUUGUAAUUUUUGUUAGUUUUUGAGAAUUUGUGACUCUUUGAUAACCAUUGCCAAUGUAUGUAGGGAAGGGGAGAACAUAUAUAGAAGUGUUGGAAUGAAGGCGUGAAUGAGCAAAUCUCUAUCCUCCAGUCGCGUCUUCAAGAGCAAAAGGAGAUGCUUAAGCGUGACAGGUUUCAAGGAUUUAAUCCCGCGAUUGGAGAACUACAGGAAAAGAUCCGAGUGGUUGAAGGUGAAGUGUCAAGGCUGAAUGAGCUAUGUUUAAGCCAAGGUAAUAAUUGUUUUUGUGAUGAAUUUUUGUAUUACGACUAAUGUGGAAGAUAUGUUAAUGCUAAUUGUUAUAUGUUUUCUCCGUGAUAGGAGAACUACAGGAUGAGGUCCGAGUGCUUCAAGGUGAAGUGGCCAGGCUGAAGGAUAUAUAUGCAAGCCAAGGUGAUAGCUUUAUGCUACUUUGUUUUCUAAUUGUUAUUGCUGCGGUUUCUUAUAUGUUUAAGUAGUAUAUCGUGAGUUGCAACUACUCCCUAUGUAUUAAAGACCAUUAUGUUUGACUAGACCGUUUGAGUAUAUCGUUUGUAUUAAGACUAAUAUGUUUGACUAGACCGUUUGUAUUAUGUUAAGAUUAUUCGCUAUUAUGAGGCAAAGUUGUCUGGUUAAUGAUUUUCGAGAAUGUAUAAGUUGCUUAGUAUUUAUUGGUGAGAGUUCAAGGUGAAGGUUGGAUGGCGGUAAGGUUAUUCUUCUUACCUUUUAUUUGUUAAUACUCGAUGCUUGGUUUUGUUUCGGGAAUAAUGGCUAACACGUACCUUUUUAUUUGCGAGGUUAUAUGGAGUGCAAUAAAUUCCUUAACAUGGAGCGAAUGAUCGAGUGGGUUCGUUUCAGCCUCAACCACAAGGUUAGUUUGAUUCCUAACUACUAUUUAGUAUCGUAAGGGAAAAUGUUAGAUGAGUUAAAGUUAGUACUAAUGGUUGGUGAAGAGUUAAUGUUAGUAGUUCUGGUUGCUUUAAAUAAAAAAACUUGUGUGAUCAAUGCUUGUUUGGUGAAGAGUAAUUGCUAUCUCUUAAAAUAGGUUAAGUAGACUUAAAAACAUUAAACAAAACCCCAUUAAUAUCCAUCUAAGCGAACAAACAUCAUACAACCCCUAAAAAACCUCAUCCUUUUCAAAUCCAUUGUUCUCUUAUCCCUUUCAAAUCCCUUCUUCCCUUAACCUUUUCAAAACAAAACCUCUGUAAACGAUCAAAAACUUCUUUCCAAACCCUUCUUUAUAAACUGAUAAAUGGAUUCUCCUAAUCCAUUUAGAACCUCUCAGGGGUUUGUGAAUCUACUAACUAGUCAAGAAGAAAUCACAUAUGGUUUUCCACAAACUAUAGACCUUGGAUCAUCAGAACCACCUCGGUUUAGUAGCCAAGGUUCUGAUGAUCCAAGUGUAAUUGUUGAAGACCGAAAGCAAAACAGGCCGUGGACAUCAAAGGAGGAUGUAGUGCUCAUCUCUGCUUGGUUGAACACCAGCAAAGACCCUGUGGUCGGAAAUGAGCAGAGGUUAGGGGCUUUUUGGAAGAGGAUACAGGCUUACUUCAAUGCUAGCCUCCAGCUGAGUGGUUCAGAAGCUAGAUCGACCAGUCAGUGCAAAAAACGGUGGGGGAGGCUGAACGAUCAGGUGUGCAAGUUUGUGGGUUGUUUCGACGCCGCAGUGAAGGAUCAGAGAUCCGGCCAAAAUGAAAAACGACGUAAUGAAGGCAGCAAACGAGAUUUUCUUCAAUGAUUACCAAGUCAAGUUCAUGCUUGAACACGCGUGGACAGAGUUGCACCAUGACCAGAAAUGGUGUUCAAAUGCAUCAAGUAAAGACAGUGGUAAGUGUAAACGAAGGAAGAUGGAUAAGUUUUCAGGUCAGUCAUCAAGUUGCCAAGAGGAAGUCCCAGCAGAAGAUGUAUUAGAGGCAGGGCCGGCUGGAGUUAAGGCCGCAAAAGCUGCUAAAGCUAAGAAGGGUGGAACAACCACAACCGCUAGUGACGACGUUGGGAAGGCUCUCUUGCAGCUACAGAGUGUGUGAAAAAUCAAGAAACAAGAUUUGGAAAUGAAAAAGAAUCUGUUAAAGCAGAAGAUGCUUGAACAUCUACUACCAAAACCGAGCCAUUGUCUGACAUAGAUAUCGCUCUGAAGACCAAACUAAUCAAUGAAAUAUUUUAUAAUCAGGCCUACCAAUUCUGUAAUAAGUACUAUGUCUUUUAUGCUAAGGUUUUAGUUAUUUUGUAUUAACGUUUAAGAGUUUGUUGGGGAUUGUAGUUAUAUUGUUUUAUGCUGAUAUGGUCGAUCAUUAUGUGUCAUUAUGGCUUGUUUUUAUUAACGUUUAAGAAGAUACUUGUUUUACGAUCUCUCACAUUAUAGCUUAAUGUUUAAGAGUUUUCUUGUGUAUUGUAUGUAUAUUGUCGGCUAAAAUUUUUCUUUACUUUCAUUUGCAGGUCACAGGUAUGCAAGGCACAAAGAGAGGACAAUGGCUGAUAUACAUUCACGGGUUUUUGUUGUGGUUCGAAUUUGUCGUUGCUCUACUUUGUAUUGAUAUGGUUUUGUGUCACGGAUACUUGAUUGACCAUUGUUGUUUCUCUGCUUUGUAAUGUAGACCACAUAUUUUUUUAUCAAUACUUGAUUAACCAUAUCCGUUUCUCUGCUUUGUAAUGUCCAUGAAAUGGUCUAUAUAUAUGAGUUCAUACUUUACCAUAAACCAAACUCCAUCUCUUCAACUCAUCGACGAGUUUACACAUCUUUUCGCCAUACCAAACUCCAUCUCUUCAACUCCAUAUCUUUUCUUCUAAAAUCCAUCUCUUUUCUUCUAAACUCCAUCUCUUUCUUCUAAACUCUAUCUCUUUUGUUCUAAACUCCAUCUCUUAAACUCUAACUCUACAUCUCUUAUUCCUUUAACAGAAACACAACAACAUGGCAUCUUCAUCAAACAAUAUUUUUGAGACAUCCAUUGACGACAGUUUUGAUGAACUAUUCAAUCAAACAGUUGACAAUAUGUUUGACACCGUUUUAGCGAAUCAAGCAGCAACAAAGGCAAAGAAGAAACAUGCAUAUAUUGAAAGAGAACGAGAAAUAGGCCACCAACAUUUAUGGAAUGAUUAUUUUAGUGAAGAUGCAACAUAUCCUCCUCAUAUAGUCCCACGCCGUUUCAAAAUGAACAAGUCGCUGUUCAUGCAUAUCGUUGAUCAGCUCUCCCAAGAAGUUGUUUUCUUCAAAAAAAAAAAAGAGAUGCUACUGGCAGGUUCGGUCUCUCUGCAAUACAGAAAUGUACGACAUCAAUUCGUAUUUUGGCGUAUGGUUGUGCUUCUGAUGUAGUUGAUGAAUACCUCCGCCUCGGUGAAACCACUGCACUUAGGUGCUUGGAAAAUUUUGUUCAAGGAAUCAUCAAUGUAUUCGGGGAAGAAUACCUAAGAAGACCCACCCCAGACGAUCUACAACGACUACUUGAUAUUGGAGAGAUACGCGGAUUUCUUGGGAUGAUAGGAAGCAUCGAUUGUAUGCAUUAGGAGUGGAAAAUUGCCCUACCGCAUGGAAGGGACAAUAUACACGUGGUUCAGGAAAACCGACAAUUGUGUUAGGCUGUAGCAUCUCAGGAUCUUUGGAUAUGACAUGCGUUUUUUGGACCUCCAGGUACAUUAAACGAUAUCAAUGUUCUCGAUCGCUCACCUGUUUUCGAUGAUAUUUUACAAGGUCGAGCACCAAAAGUUUCUUACUGGGUCAACAGACAUCAAUACCGUUUGCCGUACUACCUCACAGACGGUAUUUAUCCAGAGUGGGCAACUUUUGUCCAAUCAAUUCCACUGCUACAAGGUGAUAAGGCAAAAUUAUUUGCUACAUGUCAAGAAUCCGUCCAAAAAGAUGUUGAACGAGCUUUUGGAGUCUUGCAAGCACGUUUUGCAAUUAUAAAAAAACCUGCUGUUUUUUAGGAUAAGGAAAAGAUUGGCAAGAUAAUGAGAGCAUGUAUCAUAUUACACAAUAUGAUUGUCGAAAACGAAAGAGAGGCGUCUACUCAAUUCGAUACAAGAACUUUCGAGCAAGGACAAGGAAACGGAACUUCAGAGGUGGAUAAGACGUAUUUUACAAAUAUGCCUACAAAUCUCAACAUUUUGCUCAGCAAAAAAAAAUGAAGUUCGCGAUAAAAAAAAUACAUGAGCAACUAAAAGAUGAUUUAGUUGCACAUAUUUGGCAAAAAUUUGACAAUUCUCAAGGUCAAAACUAAGCAUUUUUAUUAUAUAAUUUCAUUUUCAAAAUUCUGUAUGUUUUUAUUUUUAUGUAAUGCAAAAUAAAAUUGUUUUCAUAAAAACUUAUAUGUUUACAAUUACUUAUAUAAAUAAUUAUUAUGCAAAAAUCGAGUUAAAAUAAAAUAAAAUUUAUUACUAAGAACCUUAUAUGAGGUUUACUAUUGUAGGUAUGAAAUUAUGAGAGAUUCUAAUUUUUGUAAGGAGCAAAAUUUUAAAACUAUUAUAUUAAUUUAGAACCCCAAAAUUUUAAUACUAUUAUAUUAAUUUUAAUUCUCAGGACGCUAUAAAUAGGUCUCUCCUCUGGUCGUUUUAGCUCACCAACUCAAUCUUUUUUUUUUAGACAUUCAACUUCUAAUAAUCAGUCAGAAGAAAAACAAUAUGAUUAAAGAGUUGCUCUUGAUAUUUCUCUUUAUGGCUCUCAUCCUCCAGAUUUGCUGUGGAUUCGAAUACAAUGAAAGUGAGGAGCCACUACGGCGUCGGCAAUGAAAGCGACAUGAACCAGACCGGUUCAUGUAGUGGGCAUUCUUCCUGAAUAUCUUCCUGAACCGGUUUCAACCGGUUCGAGAUAUUUAGGAGGAAUGCCCAUUACAUCCGCGAAAGCAACAAGAUGGGGAAACCCUUCACGCUGAGACUGAACAAGUUUGCUAAUUUGACGACAUCUGAGUUCAUCCAAGAAUGCAACGUGGAUGAUGGCCAGAUAAAAGCCACCUCCAGUGAUCCGGAGAAUAAGGUCCAGCCACCUGUUUUGCUUGAUUGUCGACAAAAAGACGCUGUCACCAACGUCAAAAAUCAAGGCAUAUGUGGUGAGUGUUUAAAAAUUGAUAGUUUUAUCAUAGUAAAGUUGAUUAAUCUCCCUAGCUAAGAAGAUUUCUCUCAAUUCCGAAGUCCGGUUUGCUUUAAAAUGAAAAAGAGUAAUCUUUUUGUUUUAAAAAGUCAAGGAAUAUUUUUUUUUUUAAUUGUUAUGAUUUAUUUUGCUUGGGGAGUUUUUGGUAUGGAUUGAUGGAAGAUAAGAGUACUUUUAGGUUACUACUAUUACAACACACUAAGUCAUUUGCUUAAAACAAAAAGAGAGUAAAUGACUUAUGAAAUUAAAUGAUAUUUGAUGAUGGGUCGAAGAGUAAAACUGAAUCUUUCUUGAAUCUAAUAUUUCUGCAAAUUCCUGAUCCAUUUGUAGGAAGUUGCUGGGCUUUUGCAGCUGCUGCAAAUGUCGAGGGCAUUAAUUUUAUAAGGACAAACACAUUGCUUAACCUGUCCACACAACAGCUUGUCGAUUGCGAUGCAUCGAGUAAAGGUUGUUUAUAUGGUUACAGGAGGCGUGCACUAGAGUUCAUAAAGCUUCCUCGUCGUUCCGUUUUACUAGUCCAACAGUGUUGGACUCCUAAAACGGAACGACGAGGAAGCUUUACUUACAGCUGUGGCAACCCAACCGGUAACAAUCGGAAUCGAUGCAAGACAUGAAGAUUUCCUUUUUUAUUCUGGGGUACUAACCGGAAAAUUUUACAUCAAUCGUUAUCUGAAUUUUUAUACUUCAGUUUCUUUUUUUUUAUAAUAAUAUAUCUAUCUAACAUGUUUUGUAGGGUACUCUUACCACUGAAAAUAAAAACUGUGGAAAAAAAACUGAGUCACGCAUGACAAUUGUCGGGUAUGGAACAGAGUCGGACGAGAGUAAAAGAAAAUUCUGGAUUGUUAAAAACUCUUACGGUGGNNNNNNNNNNNNNNNNNNNNNNNNNNNNNNNNNNNNNNNNNNNNNNNNNNNNNNNNNNNNNNNNNNNNNNNNNNNNNNNNNNNNNNNNNNNNNNNNNNNNGAGUUAUUAUCCCUAUUUAAUCCAAUAUUCCAUUAUUUUAACAUAUUGAGUUAUAGCAUUCUCUUACAUUUUCAUAUUGAUAUUAAAUAGGGAUAAUAACUUUCUUUUUUUAUGUAGAGCUCAUCUUAAACUUAGUGGACCGGAGACUUUAUUGGGUACACCAGAAAUUUGGCGAUUCCACAUCAUCCUAUAGGAUUGGCGAUGCCCCUCUUGAUGUGAAUAUAUCCGGCUUCUCCCCAAUCACCACCGUAAGAGUUCUUAACGAACCAAAAAAUUUUUUUUCUCCUGUCCGACUCUGUUCCAUACCCGACAAUUGUCAUGCGUGACUUAGUUUUUUUUUUUUUGUCAAAUCUUAUAGAAGAAAUUAUUAUUAUUAAAUUAUUAGAUUACAAGAUCCUAAUACAUAUAUAUAUAGCGUUUAACAUUAACAUAUUUGAUAACAACAAAUAAUGUAAAUUUUCUUAAUCCUUAUCACAAUAUGUUAUCUAUGAAAAUAUUCUUUGGUUGGAUUCACCGGCUUCACUUUAUAACUGGGCUCUUAAUGGCCCACAAUACUUGGUUCGUACUUACUCUCCAAGAUAUCUUCAAUAUCCUCCCGCACGACAAAGGUUGUAUGCGAAACCCAAAAAUCUGCAGUCACAAUGCAGAACAUGUUUGUUGUGGACACUUGUCGAAGAUGGACAAAACAGGUCAUUGACUCUGGAUAUAAACUUUAGUCAGGGAUGGAACUUCAGCUCGUCUUUGGUCUGAAAAAAAAGGGAAUAACAUCCGGUGGAUGCGAAUUUCUACAACUCCACAAAUAAUCAUCUUUGUAUAGGACAGUCCAGUAAAUCAGAUUAAAAAAAUGACCUAAAAACAUAAGCGUUCCAAUACAAAUCCAUAAACCCUAAACCAACUUCCUCGUAAUAGAAAAAGGCAAAACAUAUAAAUUCUGAGAUAUUCUAAAUUUAAGAAUAAAUCUCAAAGCAAAAAAAAAUAUAUCCCGUGAAAACCCUAACUUUUAAAGAAAAUAUCUCUUAAGAAACUUUUGAUAAUAAGUUCUUAAACUUGAAAGAAAGAAAACAUAAAUUAUAACCAAAAACUUAAUUUAAAAAACCAAAAAUAAUGAUUUGGACUAAACACACGUAACAAAAAAAAACCAAACUAGAAAAACUAAUUAAAAAGAGUAGAACAAAAGAAUCAUGUGAUGGUAUUUCACGUCAUCUUCAUCAUCGUCAUCACCAUCUUCCUCACCGUCUUCAACACCAAGGAUCAUUGUUUUCUUAAUCACACUAAACUUCUAUUGCGGAACCGUUAACUUUGAUCAUAGAAAUCGAAAGCUUUCAUACCAUGUCAAAUCUUAUAAAAUAGAAUAUUAUUAUUAAGUUAUUGGAUUAGAAGAUCCUAACAUAUAUAUAGCGUUUAACAUUAACAUAUUUGAUAACACCAAAUAAUGUAAAUCGAUGAAACGUAGACAACAGCAAACAAACAAUCGAUGCAUACAUUUCGGGGUUUAGAAUUAAACUAUUGUGAGAGCGAGCGAUGGAGCAUUAAUUAAUUGAGGGGUUUAUUGAUGAAACUCCAUUGAUGAAAAAAGAGAAAAAAAAAAGUAAAAAGCUAUCUCCUUUAUUUAUUUUGUUUUUGAUCGAUGCAUACAUUUAUAUUGAGGGGUUUAAAGUAAAAAUAUUUUGAGAGACAUUGAUUAAUUAAGGGGUUUAAAGUACGUAAGCUCCCUGUAAUCGAGCCAAGCCUUUUCGUACACCUCCGUCUCAUAGGAUUGCUACCUCUGUCGUGUCCGUCAGUGACAUGGAGAUGGGGCACUAGCCGGAAUAUUUCUCCGAUCCCUCGACCACCUGACUGUCGCCGGAAACAACCUUGAGAAACUCGAGUUUGGAGUUGGUCUGUAAGUUGUGCUGGGAGAUUGCGAACUUGGCUAUAACAUCUAGGUGAGGGUCCUUCAUGUCUUCGAUGGGAAGCCAUUGACCAGUUAUCUCGUCCUCUGAGUCCUCCAUAUCUUCUUCUUUUUUUUGCCAUUUUUUUUUCUUUGGCUCUCUUGUUGUCUAUGUAUUACUUAAGGAAAAUCUCAAAAUCUCAAAAUGUAAAGGAAACAAAAAAAAUUAUAAUUAUCCCGGAUCAUUUUACCACGUGGGAUUGACAUACAUACAAGUGAUAAAAUUAUGAUAUGUGUCAUAAUUAUGUAGAUUGUAACGAGGUAUUUUACAUUGAAUAAUUAUAUUUGGGUAAUUGAUUGAUGUUUUUUAAACAAAAAUUCAUUCUUUUUAAUAUUUUCUAAGAAGUUAAAUAGAAUGAAAUAUACAAAUUGGAUUUUCAUAAAGAUUUGUAAAUAUGUAUAUUUUUUAUGGAAAUAAUUACAAAUCUGUAUAGUAAUAAUUCCUACCUAUUAUAGUGCUUUUCAUAUAUACAUAUAUAUAUGGAUAUAUAUAUAUAUUCAAAUAUAUAGUAGUGAUGAUUGUAUAUAUAUCAUUACUAUGUGUUAUGAAAAUAAAUACAGAUAUGUAUAUUAAUGAUUCCGAAAUAGUAUAGCAACAUUUAAUAAUGUUUUCAAAGACAUUAAUCACUAUUUAAGCACUACGUUUGAAUACCAUAUAUAUAUAUAUAUAUAUAAUUUUGAAUAGUAUAACAAUUUUUAAUAAUCAUAUAUAUCUUAUAUAUAAAAAUUGCUCAACUUUCUCUAUAUAGUUGAUACAUCAGCAUUGUAGAAGUUAACACUUAUCACUUAAAUUUUAAUUAAUAAAUUUUAAUAUUAAAUUUUAUUAAUUAAAAAAUAUGAAAAGUUUAUUUUAUUAAUUGACUCUUACCUAACAUUUAUAUUAAUGUUAAACAAAAAUUUUGUUAUAAUUAAUUAAAAAUAUUGAUACAUAUGUAUUUAAUUUUUAUAUAACUAUAGAUUACUUAAUAAUAUUCAAGAUGUAUUUUAAAUUAAUUUUUAAGAUUAUUUAUAAUAAAAUACUAACAAAUAACAAAUGAAAUGAUGAUUAUAUUAAUUUUUUUUCUUAAUUAAUUAUUAAUUAAUAUUUCUGUAAAUAUUAAACAAAAAAUUAUGUUAUAACUAAUUAAAAAUAUUGAAUGAUAUUUAUUAAUUUUAAUAUAACUUUAAAUUAUUAAAUAAUAUUCAACACAAUUUUAAAUUAAUAUUAUAAAAAAAUUUAGAAUAAAAUAUUAACAAAUAAGUCAGUAACAAGUGAUGAUUAUAUUAAUUUUUAUAAAAAUAUAAAAAAAAUUAAAAAAUUAAAAAGAAAAAUCUGCACGUAACGUGCAGAUAUUCACCUAGUGUAUAUAUGAUUUAAGGUGAUUUCUCUCUCUUUAUGCGCCAUGUCACCAUUUGUAACAAGGACACAUAUCCCAUCUUUUAAUGCGUUUACUUCAUCUUUCUCAUUCAUAAGUAAAAACAAAAUAAACCAAAACAAAAAAUAAAAUAAAAAAACCUCACUUCCUCUUUCAAUCGUCUCAUUUUCUUUCUUUCUCCGUGUUUAUAAAUUUAAUACUAUUUUCUUUGGUUGUCUAAAUCCAAAUACCAAAAAUGGAACGAACAAACAUCAACAUCACUCCAAAAUCUAAACCGGUAAUUAUAUAUAUGAAACAUGACACCUGUCUUUUCACAUAGUUAUUAAAUUAAAAAUUUUAAAAUGAAAAGUUCAAAACUAAUUAAUAUCACUAAUUUUAACAUAAUUUUUUUUGUUUCCUUCAUAUGUUUUUAUGUUCAUAACAAUUAAGUUACAUUAAAAUUAAGGUUUUCCAUAUUUCUAAUAAAAUAUAUAAACAACAUUUCUAAUGUUUUAGUAUACUAACUUGAUACUUUUUCUUCUGGCUUAUUUUUGUUGUAAACAUUUUUCCGAAACUUGUUCUAUGAACGAAUGUAAAGAUAUGUAAUGUUCUCUUCAUUCACAUAUUUUGCGAUUUUUAUAGAUCAACUAUGAUAUUUUUAUAGUUAUAUUUCAUUGUAAAACAUAAAACAUGUAGUUUUUAUCAUAAACAUGAGACUAUAUUUUAAAACAAUACAACCCAAAAUGAUGUAGCUUUUAUCUACAUUUUUUUACUCUUAUCAUAUUUAUAAUUUCUAGAAUGAUAAAAUAAUUUUCAUGUUUACCCUACUUCUAAUCCUAAAAAAAAAAUUUGUUUGAUAAAGAUUUUUUUAAAAAAAAAAUUAAUACCAAACAAUUAAGCAAAUUACCAUAUUCUUAUAAUUAACUAUGUGUAUAUAUCAACACAAAUAUAUUUUUAAAAAUAUUAUGUGAAACAAAACCGUAUACAAGUCUAGUGUUUUUAAAGACACUAAUCACUAAGCACUACGUUUACAUAUAAAUCCUGAAAUUUGUGUAUUAACAGAUAAGAUGUGUGUUUAUAUAAAUAAGUAAAGUGAUUAUGUCAUCUUUUUCAAUAUGGUUAGUGAAGUAUCAGAACAUGUUCAUUAUGAUUCUUUAAAAUAAGGGAUAACGACAUAAACUCACGUCGAGAUAAAAAUACUUUAAUACUCAUCACAGUUUGUUUGGAUCAUCAAGUUUUUGUAGGAAGUCUCGACUCUCGACCAGUUAGUGACAAGUCCAAAGACAUGUCUAAAUGUUGACUCUCUUUUUUACUAGAUUCUGGGCUAAAGCUGGCAGUUAUUUCUAACCUUCAUCCUUUUUUAAGUUGAGUUAACCAUACUUAAUAAGGUGAAGCUUGAUGACUCGUUUUAUUUAUUAGUAGUGUGUACAGUGUACUCAACUAGAGUUAGAAGUAAGAACUCCUAAAAAUUAAAACUAAUGGGAGUUUAUUUUAUGGUAGAACCAUUAAGACCUUAAAAGUGAAAUCUAAUCCUAUUUUAUGUGUGAUAGUUAUUUUCUCGUUGACAAAAAAUUUGAUAAUUUUUCUUCACGUUUUAACCCUCGUGAGUCGUGACCGUAUAUACAUAGAAUAGCUCAUCAAAGCUACAUUUUUGUGUACCGACAUGGUUACGGACUUACGGUCCAUUCGAUUAUUGAAGAGUCCGGAAAUGUAUGUUUCAUGGGGAAAUGAAUUUAUGUUACACUUAAAAAAAUUGUAUCAAUCAAUAAACCAGUUUUGUUUUGAAAAAAAAAAACAAUUGACUUGGAUCCUCUGUUCUUAUAGCUGUCAAAAUGGACUGUUCAUGUCCAUUUUGGCCCGUCUAAUAUUGUCCAAUUUGAUUGUGGAUAAAUGGUGACCAUGUCCAUUAGCGACCAUUUCCAUUAAGACCAUGCCCAUUAAUGACCAUAUCUAAAUGAGCUGUCUAUGAGUGUUUACUGGUCACAUAGCAUAACUGAAUAACAUAUUGUUUUUUUAUAUAAAUAAUAUUUCAUUUGACAUUAAUAUGAAACUGAGAUUUUGCGUUUUUGACGGAAAACGAGAUUUUUCGUUUUUGACAAGAAAUCAAAUUUUUUUUGCAUUUUGAUGGGAAAUCGAGAUUUUCCGUUUUUGGCGGGAAAUCGAGAUUUUGAGUUUUUGACGGAAAAUCAAGAUUAUGUGGGAAACCUUGAUUUAAUGGUUUUCGCGGGAAAAUGAGAUUUUUGUGGAUUUUGGUGAAAAAACAAUAUUUUGCUGUUUGGAGGACAUCAAAUUUUUUUUGUUUUGACGGAAAAAUCAUAAUUUUGCAGAUUUUGCAGGAAAAAGUUUGAUUUAAUGAUUUCACGAAAAAAUAGAUUUUGCGGUUUUUGGCGGGAAACCGAAUUUUUUGUUUUUAGGAGUUUUAGCAAAAUUUUUGUUUUGAUGAGAAAUUGUUUUGACAAUUUAAAAAAAAAAAUAAUUAUGAAUAUGUUAUAUUGAGGGUUAUUUUAGUUUUUUGUUUUUAGAAGCUAAAUUUGCAUCCACAACUCUACAUUUUUCAGCAUUUUAAAAUUUUAACCUAAUUUUUUUUGUUCAUUGGGCGGAUCAAUAUCCAAAAUGUCCAAUCCAUUUUAUCUAUGUGCGAAAAUGGACAAAGCUCACUUCAACCCGUUUCAAAAAUGGGUUUAUCCAUAACCAGUUCAAAAUGCUACGCGGACAAACCAUACACUGCCUAUCCAUUUUGACAGCUCUAUCUGUUCUUAAAAAGAUGGACUAUACUCGAGAAAAGAAAGCAAGAUGGGCCAACUAAGGCCCACUGAUUUGAGUAACUCGACUCAACUCGUCAACACUUGACUCAGUGUCCUCUUCUAACGAAUUUUCUGAUUUGAUCUCCAUGAAAUUGAGGCCACGACGAACCGUGAAUGGACGCGAUCAAACCACUUCCUCAGGUCUCGAGUUUCUCCGCUUCGCUCUUUAGCUUCCUCGAUGACAGUUUCAGAGACGCCACGGAUCUCUCCCAGUCUCCGGUUCUGGUUUCCGAGUUACGCGCUGAGAUUUCCGAUUUGGAUCAGAGAUUGGCCGGGCUGAAUCGCCAGCUCGAGUCCGGUCUCGCUGCUUACGCUUCGUUUUCGGGCCGCAUCGGUGGUCUAUUUUCCGGAGUCAAUGCCAAGCUCGCUGAUCUCUCUUCUUCUACCUGCGUUCCGCGCUUAGCAUCAGGUUCGUAUGAUUACGACGCGAGUUUAUUGGAUUCGUCUGCCGAAACAGCAAAAUGCAGAUUAUGUUCGUGAAAUGCUGUAGUCAAAGAUGAAAAUUCGGUUUUGGGUGGUGAGAGAUUCUUGGAAAUGCCGUCAAAAAUUGUGACGUUCUUUUAAAUUUGAGAAUCUUUUGUCUGUCUUAUACAUUCAGAUGGCGGAAAGGAGGAGGAGACGACGGAGCUUGUAGCUGGGGAGGAGCUUCCAUCACUGGCAAAGGAGGUAGCACAAGUUGAGUCUGUGAGGGCUUAUGCUGGUAAGUUGGCUUCCUUUGGUGUUUAUGAAUUGGUGUUUUUGAUGGGUUGAUCGAGAUUAUUUAUACCACCCAAAUUUGGAAUUUGCAAUCUUCUUCUUUCUUAGUUUGGUCACUGUAGAGUUCAUUUUUUUCCUUUUAGUUACUUUCAAUCUUUUCAAGAUGUUUCUCAAUGUUUCAGAGACUGCACUAAAACUUGACACUCUAGUGGGUGAUAUCGAGGAUGCAGUGAUGUCUUCUAUGAACAAAAACUUGAUAUCACCUCGGUCAAGCAGUUUUGAAGUAAGCACACUAUCUUCAGCUAGAUUGUGCUGUGUAUAACUUCAGACCAUAUGUGUGGACCAAUGUUUUAAAUGUUACUGAUCUUCAGGAAGUGCGUCUACAUGCUAUCAAAACACUUAAAAAGACAGAAGAGAUACUGAGUGUAGUGGCAAGGAGACAUCCUCGGUGGGCACGUCUUGUUUCUGCAGUUGAUCACAGAGUAGAUAGAGCUUUAGCCAUGGUGAGACCUCAAGCAAUUGCUGAUUACAGAGCGUUGCUUACUUCUCUUGGAUGGCCACCACAGCUUUCAACCUUAACUUCACCAAGCCUUGAUUCAAAGUCAGACAAUGUCCAAAAUCCGCUUUUCAACAUGGAAGGGAACCUCAAAAGUCAAUACUGUGGAAAUUUCCAUGCCCUGUGUAGCCUACAGGGGUUGCAGUUGCAAAGAAAGUCGCGGCAGCUUGGGAACCAUAAGGGAGAAAAUGUUCUUUUCCACCAGCCACUCUGGGCUAUUGAAGAGCUGGUCAACCCU
rnacentral:lncRNA from 1 species